rnacentral:rRNA from 1 species
GAAUUGCUAGUAAUCGCAGAUCAGCAUGCUGCGGUGAAUACGUUCCCGGGCCUUGUACACACCGCCCGUCACACCAUGGGAGUCGGUAACACCCAAAGUUGGUAGCCUAACCGCAAGGAGGGCGCCGCCUAAGGUGGGAUUGAUGACUGGGGUGAAGUCGUAACAAGGUAUC